CCUACGGGAGGCAGCAGUGGGGAAUAUUGGACAAUGGGCGAAAGCCUGAUCCAGCCAUGCCGCGUGUGUGAAGAAGGCCUUCGGGUUGUAAAGCACUUUCAGUGAGGAAGAAAGCCUUGAGGUUAAUACCCUCGAGGGAGGACAUCACUCACAGAAGAAGCACCGGCUAACUCCGUGCCAGCAGCCGCGGUAAUACGGAGGGUGCGAGCGUUAAUCGGAAUUACUGGGCGUAAAGCGCGCGUAGGCGGCUUGAUAAGCCGGUUGUGAAAGCCCCGGGCUCAACCUGGGAACGGCAUCCGGAACUGUCAGGCUAGAGUGCAGGAGAGGAAGGUAGAAUUCCCGGUGUAGCGGUGAAAUGCGUAGAGAUCGGGAGGAAUACCAGUGGCGAAGGCGGCCUUCUGGACUGACACUGACGCUGAGGUGCGAAAGCGUGGGUAGCAAACAGGAUUAGAUACCCUGGUAGUCCACGCCGUAAACGAUGUCGACUAGCCGUUGGGCUCCUUGAGAGCUUUGUGGCGCAGUUAACGCGAUAAGUCGACCGCCUGGGGAGUACGGCCGCAAGGUUAAAACUCAAAUGAAUUGACGGA
rnacentral:rRNA from 1 species